rnacentral:rRNA from 1 species
AAGUCGAGGGGUAACAGGGAAGCUUGCUUUCGCUGACGACCGGCGCACGGGUGCGUAACGCGUAUACAAUCUACCUUAUACUGGAGAAUAGCCCUAAGAAAUUGGGAUUAAUGCUCCAUAAUAAUUAGUUAUCACAUGGUAAUUAGUUUAAAGCUUUUGCGGUAUAAGAUGAGUAUGCGUCCUAUUAGUUAGUUGGUGAGGUAACGGCUCACCAAGACAGCGAUAGGUAGGGGGCCUGAGAGGGUUAUCCCCCACACUGGUACUGAGACACGGACCAGACUCC